rnacentral:lncRNA from 1 species
UUGGAGGGUGGUGGGAUCCUGGAUGCAGCCUGUGGAUGGGAGGUGGUGGGGCAGAGGCUAGAGAAAGAGAAGAGUCAAUGAGGACACUCAGGUGUUUGGCCUGAGCCCCUGGAAGGAGAGAGGUGCCACUUUCAGAGGCAAAGACGACGCAGGAGAGAUAAGAAAACAGCUCACAAAGAGGAAUGAUUUGCCUGAUAUCACCCAGCAGAUGUAUGGCAGAAAAACCCGCUGGAUGUGUGGCAGAAAAACCCGCCUUUGAAC